CGUCGGGUCAACAUGGUGCUCGCGAAAAGGUCGAAUGAAAGCCUGGAACCAAAAUAGUAAUSAAACUGCCUCAAUCAAUGCUUAAAGAGCAAGCAAAACAAACAAACAAACAAACACAAAACACACAAAAACAAACAAACCAAAAAAUACAUGAUUAAGAUGAAGAUAAUUUUUGAAACUACAAAUGCUGCCAUUAAGCCAAGUGAAAUGGAUACACAAUCUACUUGCUGCAUCUUAAUACAAAUUCAAAGGAUGUUCAAAAGGGUAGAAUCUAUGWUGACAUACACAAAACAUAAAAUGUUACCUUGCCAAAAAUAGGAAUAUCAAUAGAUCCCCAAGUAUCAGCUGCCCAGUGAACAAGACCAGACAUGAAAUCUGCUGUAAGAAUUCCACCAACUGAAAAAAAACAUAACUUGCUCAUAGUCACUUAAAGUGAUCAGGAGUUUUAAAAUGAGCUGAUGGGGAAUAGGUUAUCAUAUUCCAUAAACAUGAAUAAAGUCACUGAUACAUACAUAUUCAACUGAUAAAGGGUUUGCUUAAUCAUAUGACAUUCUUGGUAUAGAAAUGAGAUUCAUAAAAUAUGAA